GGGAAAAUCUCUAUGCACAAAAUGUCCACUUUUGUAAAAUUGUUUAGAAUUCUGUGGUUACACCCAUUUUUACAAUAACCUUGCUCAUGAGAGUAAUGUAAUCGAAGAUUGUGUGAAACAUUUAAAUAAUCGAUAUCGAUAGCAAAACUCUCUGCACUAAUGGUACUAUCUAAGUUAUCGAUGUGGUAACAGAAGCAGCUGUUUAAUCAUUCUGUUCUUUACGAAUGCCCCGAAAAAUUAACAAGAAAACUUAAUAACGAACGAACGAACCGGGUCGAUUAAAAAUCUUUUCACCACAUACACGUUCUCUCAGCUCGAGUGUUGAUUUUGAAAUGAUGGAAUAAUGCACGAACUGCUGUGUGUAUGGCCGUAGAAGAGAAGUGGAUGAGCAGCGCUAAUGAGAAGGAAAAACUUGCCACAGAACUUUUUUGAAAUCGUGUUAACUAUGUUAUUUGCGAUUGUAUACGCCGGAAAUUUUGGAGAGAAGUGAAAUUUAUUUGAUUUAGGAUUUUUUUGAAAUCGUACAAAUCCGUUAUUUGCAAUUUGAUCCACCUGGAAUUUUGGGGGAACGUGGAUCGCACAUCUGUCUCUAGAAUAAACAAAAAACACCCCUUUUGGUAAAAAUCAAGUUAGGUCCUUUUUGUAUUAAGCCAUCGAUAUGAGUGUUUGUAUGUCAUAUGCAGUAUGUGUUUGUGUUAUAAUGAACGACGAACGAAUGGCAGCGGGCUUCGGCUUAAAAAAGAUACAUAUAUCUUAUUAUUUGGGAAAGUUAUCUAGUUUUCAAAUGUAGAUAAAAGGGGAAAAAUAAAACUUUAAUUAAGUUUUAAGUAUUUAAUGACUUUAUUGUUAAC